AUGUGAUGUGGUUUAUGCGAUUACUUUGCAGGUCCGGGACUUUUACACCAAAGUGCUGAGUGAAGAAGAGCGCAAGAGGCUCUGUGAGAACAUCGCCGGUCACCUGAAGGAUGCCCAACUCUUCAUCCAGAAAAGAGCUGUGAAGAAUUUCACCGACGUUCACCCCGAUUACGGCAACCGUAUCCAGGCUCUGCUUGACAAGUACAACGCUGAAGGACACCAUAAGAGAGUGAUCAAGACCUACACUCAGCAUUCUGCGCAUGUGACCGCAAAUGACAAGGCCAACCUGUAACCGUCCUCAUCCUCCGUCUUCUCCUCAAUGAUCCGUCCACUAAUUGUUUUUUUUUUUUUUGUUUUUGUUUUUUAAUUAUAAAACUUUAAGACCUAAAUGAUUGUUGUUUUAAAAACAGAGCUACAGAAUUCCAAAAAUCUUUCUGGUGAAAUCGCUAGACUUUUAUACUUACCUGCUCUUGGCCUCAGGAACAUCCUGCACUUUUAUAUUUCUGUCUGAACCAAUAAUCGCACAAAGGCACAUAUAAACCGAAUGAUACUGGAAAAAAAAAAAUAACCUAAUAAGCUAUGUUGCAUAUGUAUAAUACUAACUUUCUGUCCAAACAUUUCCAAUAGCUGACAAUAACCUCUUACUCUGUGCCUUCAAAUGACAGAUUCAGCUGAUUGCAGUAAAGGUGAUGCAAAUAAUCGCACAGCUCCUACAUUACACUGUGAAUGUUGUGGGAGUAGCCGACUAUCCGGUGGCUAACAAAUGUAGUUUAUUAAGCCUACGACUAACUCUAGACUAGAUUCUAGCAACAAAUCUGCUGCAUAGUCUACCUGGUUUCUCGUUGUUGGGAGCCAGCUGGCAGCAUGCUGCAAAUGUGAACUAAUUAAGUAAUCAUUUUGUACAAUAAACCUACCUGCAGCUAAU